GCACGUGGGUCUGCUUGUCUCUUCUGGGCAGGCUGAAGCCCUGGGUGAGCCUGGUGGCAGAUCUGAGAGGAGAACAGGAAGCCCUUGUGUGGACACACUGACUUGGGUCUCUGUCGAGCACAAUGGCAUCUUUGGGGCACAUGAGUUUUGGUCACGUCCUUAGCAGGAGGCAGCAGCAGAUCAGAAAGUUGCACCUCUGGCUGGGUGUUGGGCAUUUAGCCUCGAGUGUUGGGGAAAAUAGUGACUAUCAACUGCUUUCCUUACAUCAGAAUACCUGCAUUGUGCUGUGUUCUGUAUGUAAGGACUAAACACACAUCAAUUUAUUCUUUAGGAGGAGCAUUCCCUGUUACAGUAGUAAAAUCCCUCUGUCAAAAUUAAAUGCAAUUGGGAUUUAUUUCUGAGACUAAAUAAGCUGUCCUCUGUUAGUGUUAGGAGGCAUCGUGAGCGCUGUGAGCUUUCAGCAUAAACUUCUGUUUAAUUUUAGAUUGGGGUUUAGAUAAACAGUUUUAUUCUUGCCUCAUUAAUGCUUAAUCUUGUGUUACAUAAUCCACAAUAUUGGCUUCCUGAGUGGCUCUUCAGUGCAGUGCAUGCAUGUGGGGCUUGCGGGGUGCACGUGCUCCAGGCAGCACAGUGCCCUGCAAAGUGCUGGGGGCAAACACAUGGCAGAGAUGCUUUUCUCCUUUGAUAGUGGGAUAAUUAGGUGAAAUCCCUGAGCACAAAGUGAUCAGUUAGUCCUACACUGGCAUCUUAGUGUUUACUCUUCAUGAUAUAACUUACCAGCAGCUGAAUUUAAUGGUGUCUGUAGCAUGGGCGUUAUCACCGUUCUCCUUUCCCAGAGGAAAUAUUUCCUGUUUGAUGGUACAUUCCCCAAACGAUGGGAUGUUAAUACACUGCCUGAUCCAGGCGUAUUAUUUUCUGACUUUUCCUUGCUGCAGAAGCGUUCAGAAAGGGACGAGCUGUGUAAGCCUUUUCUGCUUGAAAGCUGAACCUUUUUCCUUAAUAACUUGCUUUCGCCUCAGCACGGGCAGAGCUGAAAUUUUCCAUUAGAGUUUGAAGUGACUGCCAACAUAAACAGCCACCGCUCCUUUUCAUUCCUGUUCCGCUCACUGCUGCUGGUGCUUCCAUGGCAGGGACGAUACAGAUAGAGGGUUUUGUUCUUGGUACAGCAGGGCCUGGGCUUGGCGUGUUACAAGACGAUGGCCGAUAUCCUGCUGGGCCCCAACCCCAAGCACAGGCCCAGGCCCUGGUUGCUCUCUUUUCCUGUGCGAGUAAAACCACUGGGUUGUUUGCAUAGCUAAUUCUUCUGUAGGGAUCGGGCUUUCAUUUUUGGUUGUCCUUUUUUCAGCCAAGCUGAUUGGGUCCGUUUGGCUUUAAGGGAGUGCAGCACACACAGCCCGGCUCUCACUGCUCUCCGGGAGCAGAAGAAGCGAGGCAGAGCGUUGCAUGAGGCGCUGAGCUCAGACAGAGGUGUGCAUGGAUUUGAUUGAAGGCUUUGAGAGGUCUUAAAGAGACAUAAGCGUCGUGGUUUCCCUCUGGUGCACACCGUGCCGUCUCCAUCUGGAAAGCUGGCCUGGGUACUCCCUUGUUGCUCUCAUUUCUGUUUUGGACACAACGUACUCUGCAGAGCAAGGAAAGCCACGGAUGGACGUUCCCCCCUCCCCUGUGCUUUGUUUUUAUUUAUGUGAAGUCUCCCGAGAUUUGCACUUCAUUUUCCAUCAUGUGAUUUGACUUUUGUGUUCUGAAGGUAAAUUCACAGCACCACGAGGAGCCCGGCCGUGCUGUUGGUGCUGAGCCCUGUGUUGGUGAGGGGCAGAGCAGAGGUGUGCUCACCGUGCCAGUGGGGCUCUCAGGUUGCAUUGAGCACGGAUAAUAAAUCAGCUCUGUUUGCGCUGUGUUUUUGUCUCCUACUUUACAAGAUUGAAACCCAUUGUUUAUUUUUCUCUGAAGGUUUGAAGGGAGGUGGAGGAGAAAGAUUUUCACAAGCAAAAGAAGGCCAUUAGGCGAUUGCAUUGUGUUCUGUCAGAGAGCCAGCAAGGACAAUUUCUGCUUUGUAGGGAAAAGUAUGUGUUGGAAGACUUAAGCCAAGGUGAUUUGGGAAAUUGAUACAGUAUUGUCUCAGUCUUUCUCUCAGUAACAGAGAGGAAACAGUGCUGCUUCCCUCCUCCUCAUCCUUGUGCUGCCUUUCCCUUACCUCUUUUCAUAACUCACCAUUGCAGGACGUUGUUAUUAUUUUGUUUAUUUUCUUACUGUAAAUUUUCCUUUUUGAGCAUGAAAGUCUGGCCAGAAUGUUUUUGUUCAUCAGCAAUUGCUUACCUUCCGUUCUGCGUUUAUCUUUCCCUGUGAGAAAAGGCAUUAGAUGUUCUGUAGCUGUAGUCAGAUUGUGUCAGACCCUCAGAUGCUGAUCCUGAGGUCCUAUGAAUCUCAGCCACAAAAAGUAGGUGUCUGUCUGACAGCUCAUACCCCUUGUUUUCGUGGCUGAGUCUUUCACUUUGGCAAGGUUCUUUUCCAUGGAUGCUGUGCACCAAACAAUGUCUUGUUUGUUUCCCAUCCAGUUAGAAACUGAAGGUAUUAAAACUUCAGAAGGUAAAAAUAGAAAAGUCAUAUGAAGCAGCAGUGAUGUUUGUGGAACAUCCUGUCCUCGGGCAGCGUUAGAGUUAUAACAUUUGGGUGACUUCAGGAAGAAAUUUGUCCAUCUUACCCUGCCUGAUGCCUGCUUCUUGAGCUGGCUUAAUAGAGAAAGGGAGACAUUUAUUCUAUGGGAGACAUACGUGGCUCAGUGGCUCUGUUUUAUGGCAAGUUAAACUAUUUUUUGUGCAUUAAUAUGGCAUUCUGAGAUGGUGUUGUCCUUUCUGAAGGAAAAAGAAGCAAAGGAGACAGCACAAUGUAGGCCUCAGGUUGGAAGAGCAGUGUGUGUUAAUGGUUGCUUUGUGCCCCAGAUAGCACUGUAGGAGCUGUGUGUGUCUGCAGGGCUCUCUUGGCAUAUAGUCAGCCCCCAAAUACGUCAUUCAGGCCUAAAUAUCCCAUAGUAUGCUGCUAUAAGUGUACUGUGAGAGCGAGGCGAUAAUAACUUCUGUAGACAGAUGCACUCAUUUUGUCAGUUUUGUUUCAAACCAGCUGUAAAAAAGCAGCAGUGCUUGAUUGCUCUUUUUUUCUUAUUUCCCCUUGCCAGGGAAUGCCCCUUGGAAUCAUGCAGAUCAUGGAACAAACUCAGCACGAGGAGUUAAGAAUAGUGGCUUUUGUAGGUAGGGGCUGUGGCAUAGGGAAAGUGGAAGUGAUACCGAGCCCUGUAAGCCUGCAACAUCAACACCUAACAUCACAAGCUGAAACCUGGUGUGUUUCCAUUUCUACUUCAUGUUCCUGAAAGGAAAGUACUGAGCAGUAUGAUGGAACUCAACUUGUCAGGGUGUAAAGAGGCAAAUGAUGUCUUCUUGAGGUAAGCACCCACUGCUGUCAUCUCAGCAGCACAUGGCUGAGAUCAGCAGUGCGCGGUGCAGCUGGGGCUGAGCUACUGCUUGAA